UGAGGAAUAUUGGUCAAUGGACGCAAGUCUGAACCAGCCAUGCCGCGUGAAGGAUGAAGGCCUUCUGGGUUGUAAACUUCUUUUAGCUGGGAAGAAAACUACGGUUUCUACUGUAGCCGACGGUACCAGAGGAAUAAGCACCGGCUAACUCCGUGCCAGCAGCCGCGGUAAUACGGAGGGUGCAAGCGUUAUCCGGAUUUACUGGGUUUAAAGGGUGUGUAGGCGGGUCUUUAAGUCAGUGGUGAAAUCUCCGAGCUCAACUUGGAAACUGCCAUUGAUACUAUUGAUCUUGAAUUCUGUUGAGGUUGGCGGAAUAAGUCAUGUAGCGGUGAAAUGCAUAGAUAUGACUUAGAACACCGAUUGCGAAGGCAGCUAACUAAACAGAUAUUGACGCUGAGGCACGAAAGCGUGGGGAUCAUACAGG
rnacentral:rRNA from 1 species